CCUACGGGAGGCAGCAGUGGGGAAUAUUGGGCAAUGGGCGCAAGCCUGACCCAGCAACGCCGCGUGAAGGAAGAAGGCUUUCGGGUUGUAAACUUCUUUUCUCAGGGACGAAGCAAGUGACGGUACCUGAGGAAUAAGCCACGGCUAACUACGUGCCAGCAGCCGCGGUAAUACGUAGGUGGCAAGCGUUAUCCGGAUUUACUGGGUGUAAAGGGCGUGUAGGCGGGAAAGCAAGUCAGAUGUGAAAACCAUGGGCUCAACCUGUGGCCUGCAUUUGAAACUGUUUUUCUUGAGUACUGGGGAGGCAGACGGAAUGCCUAGUGUAGCGGUGAAAUGCGUAGAUAUUAGGAGGAACACCAGUGGCGAAGGCGGUCUGCUGGACAGCAACUGACGCUGGGGCGCGAAAGCGUGGGGAGCAAACAGGAUUAGAUACCCCGGUAGUC
rnacentral:rRNA from 1 species